rnacentral:rRNA from 1 species
GUGGCAAGUUAGACGGGCACAUGGUGGAUGCCUAGGCACCAGGGGCCGAUGAAGGACGUGGGAGGCUGCGAUAAGCCUCGGGGAGUUGUCUACCGAGCGGUGAUCCGAGGAUGUCCGAAUGGGGAAACCCAGCCCGAGUGAUGUCGGGUUACCCGCACCUGAAUGUAUAGGGUGUGUGGAGGGAACGCGGGGAAGUGAAACAUCUCAGUACCCGUAGGAAGAGAAAACACUGGUGAUUCCGCUAGUAGUGGCGAGCGAACGCGGAACAGGCUAAACCACGCGCGUGGAAACCGGAUAGGGGUUGCGUGUGUGGGGUCGUUGGGGCCCGCUGGGCGGAUCUAUUCGUCUGCCAGGGUCGUGCUGUGGUGAGCCGAACACCGUGGAGGCGGUGACCGGAGUGGGUGAUGAGUCCCGUAGGUGAACACUGCAGGCAUGGCCUGGGGCGGUGGCCCCGAGUAGCAGCGUUUCCGUGGAGGGCGUUGUGAAUCGGGCGGGACCACUCGCUAAGCCUAAAUACUUCCUGGUGACCGAUAGCGGAUAGUACCGUGAGGGAAUGGUGAAAAGUACCCCGGGAGGGGAGUGAAAGAGUACCUGAAACCAUGUGCCCCCAAACCGUCAGAGCGCCCUGUGCGGGUGUGAUGGCGUGCCUUUUGAAGAAUGAGCCUGCGAGUCGCGGCUGCGUGGCGAGGUUAACCCGUUGUGGGGUAGCCGGAGCGAAAGCGAGUCUGAAUAGGGCGUCGAAGUCGCGUGGUGCGGACCCGAAGCGGAGUGAGCUACCCAUGGCCAGGGUGAAGCGCGGGUAAGACCGUGUGGAGGCCCGCACCCACCAGGGUUGAAAACCUGGGGGAUGAGCUGUGGGUAGGGGUGAAAGGCCAAUCAAACUUCGUGAUAGCUGGUUCUCCCCGAAAUGCAUUGAGGUGCAGCGUCACGUGGUGCCCGGGUGGGGUAGAGCACUGGUUGGUGGCGGGGCCCGAUGAGGGUUACCAACGUCAGCCAAACUCCGAAUACGCCCGUGGUAGCAGCGUGGCAGUGAGUCCGUGGGGGAAAAGCUCCACGGUCGAGAGGGAAACAGCCCAGAACACCGGCUAAGGCCCCUAAGUGUGCGCUUAGUGGAAAAGGAUGUGGGAUUGCCCAGACAACCAGGAGGUUGGCUUAGAAGCAGCCAUCCUUGAAAGAGUGCGUAAUAGCUCACUGGUCGAGUGAUCCUGCGCCGAUAAUGUAGCGGGGCUCAAGCGUACCGCCGAAGCCGUGUCACCGUGCCCAACACUGUUGGGUGGGGUGGGUAGGGGAGCGUCCCCCACUGCGCGGAAGCAUCGGUGUAAACCGGUGUGGAGUGUGGGGGAGUGAGAAUGCAGGCAUGAGUAGCGCAUGGAAAGUGAGAAUCUUUCCCGCCGAAUGACCAAGGGUUCCUGGGGCAGGUUCGUCCGCCCAGGGUGAGUCGGGGCCUAAGGCGAGGCCGACAGGCGUAGUCGAUGGACAACGGGUUGAUAUUCCCGUACCCGUGGGCACGCGCCCAUGGCGGAACCGGGGACACUAACCAUCCCGCUGCCCGCGCCGGCUUUCGAGCCGGUGUGGAGUCCAGUGGCAUGGGACCUGAUCCGGGAGUAGUCAAGCGAUGGGGUGACGCAGCAGGGUAGCCCGAGCCAGUGAGUGGUAGUACUGGUGUAAACCCGUAGCCCGCCGUCCAGGCAAAUCCGGACGGCUGCAGGGGUGAGAGGUGAGACCGAGCCGUUGUGGCGAAGUCGGUGAUCCCGCACUGCCGAGAAAAGCCUCUAGCGAUGUGUGUCCAUGGCCCGUACCCGAAACCGACACAGGUGGUCUGGUUGAGUAUACCAAGGCGAUCGGGUGAACUGUGGUUAAGGAAUUCGGCAAAUUGCCCCCGUAACUUCGGGAGAAGGGGGGCCACCCCCGGUGUAGCACCGCGCGUGUGAAGCUCGGGGUGGCCGCAGAGGCCAGGGAGAAGCGACUGUUUACUAAAAACACAGGUCCGUGCGAAGUCGUAAGACGAGGUAUACGGACUGACGCCUGCCCGGUGCUGGAACGUUAACAGGACUCGUUACCCACCAUGUGGGGAAGCGGAGAAUGGAAGCGCCAGUAAACGGCGGUGGUAACUAUAACCAUCCUAAGGUAGCGAAAUUCCUUGUCGGGUAAGUUCCGACCUGCACGAAUGGCGUAACGACUUCUCCGCUGUCUCGACCACAGGCCCGGUGAAAUUGCAGGACGAGUAAAGAUGCUCGUUUCGCGCGGCAGGACGGAAAGACCCCGGGACCUUUACUAUAGCUUGGUAUUGGCGCGGGCUACGGCUUGUGUAGGAUAGGUGGGAGACUGCGAAGCCCUCUACGCCAGUGGGGGUGGAGUCGUUGGUGAAAUACCACUCUGGUCGCAGCGUGCGUCUCACGUCGAACCCUGAUCGGGUUCACGGACAGUGCCUGGUGGGUAGUUUAACUGGGGCGGUUGCCUCCUAAAGAGUAACGGAGGCGCCCAACGGUUCCCUCAGCCUGGUUGGCAAUCAGGCCGCGAGUGUAAGUGCACAAGGGAGCUUGACUGUGAGACUGACGGGUCGAGCAGGUGCGAAAGCAGGGACUAGUGAUCCGGCACUGGCAGGUGGAAGCGGUGUCGCUCAACGGAUAAAAGGUACCCCGGGGAUAACAGGCUGAUCUUGCCCAAGAGUCCAUAUCGACGGCAUGGUUUGGCACCUCGAUGUCGGCUCGUCGCAUCCUGGGGCUGGAGUGGGUCCCAAGGGUUGGGCUGUUCGCCCAUUAAAGCGGCACGCGAGCUGGGUUUAGAACGUCGUGAGACAGUUCGGUCCCUAUCCGCCGCGCGCGCAGGAGACCUGCGGAAAGCUGUCCCCAGUACGAGAGGACCGGGACGGACGAACCUCUGGUGUGCCAGUUGUCCCGCCCGGGGCACGGCUGGUUGGCUACGUUCGGCACGGAUAACCGCUGAAAGCAUCUAAGCGGGAAGCCCGUUCCCAGAUGAGGUCUCCCACCCCCAGUGGGUUAAGGCCCCCACCCGACCAGUGGGUUGAUAGGCCCGACAUGCACGCACAGCAAUGUGUUCAGUGGACGGGUACUAACCGGCCGAGGACUUACCCCAC